GCCCUGCUGGCUGUAAAGCGAGGCUGCGGCCGCUGCGGGGAGCCCGGAAUCCGGAGGAGGGCUCCUCUGGGCCCGCGUGCGCUGAUAAAGGAGUCACUGCGCCUCCUCCGGUGUUCGAUCUGUGUUACUUCCCGCUACAUUUGGUUCCUUGGCCGGGAAACGACUCACACGAGCGGGCAUUUGCCACCGGUGAGGGGACCUACGGGGGAUCCGUGGAGCCCCGGGACGGGAGGAAGCGCCCCGGCUGUUUCGGGUCCUUGCCCGUCCAGGGCUCCGCGGACAGCCAUCGGUGAGGUCCGCCCCACCCGGGCCGCCUGGGGAAGCGAACGGAUCCGAGGCCAGGGACGAGCUCUCUUCAGGACUGCUUGCAGGAAUAACACCCUGGCUUCAUCACACCCGGGUGAAAAAGGCAGCAGAUCCCGACACAACGAGGAUCCUGAGGACCCGUCCCAGUUACAGCCCCUAUCAUCAUCAUGACUGCCCCUGCUGAAGCUAAAAAGAGGACCGACCCUUGAUGGGGACCGAGAGGAAGGGACCGUUGCCCAGGAUGGCACCUCACAGCCACAGGACUUCCCAUCACCAUCCUCGGAAUUGGACUGAUAGUAGUGCCCCCAAAAGACUGGAUCAUAUGGGAGCACUUGGGUCUACGGGGGGCAUUCCUUGGACUUGUUUGUAUCUAUGACUAUGUAGUAUGUUUUAUAUAACUGGUGUUGCCGCCAUCCCCAGAGUGCAAAUGUAGUACACCGGGAAGGAAAAUAAUGCUAUGGGGGGUGGGGGAGCUAUAACUUAGAUUGUGUAAAACCACAGAAAUCACAAUGCAGUUGGCGAAACCGAGUAUACGGGACCGGGGUUAUGAGGGGACUAAGGGCUACCAGGCUCAGAAAUGUAGAGGACAUGGUGAGCCUGGCAGGCAGGUAUGCUGGAGCCUCACCUGGCCACUGAGCACCAUGAAUCGGAAGGAAUUUGAGGCAGCUAGAAAGCAGUAAAGCAAGUAGUCGAAAAGCUCAAGAAACAGGAGGUUGCCUAUAAAGGAGUUAGCCUCACAGCCUUCCAAAAAGCCUUACAAAAAAAAGCCCUGCCUCGCUCGUACCAGAAUAUUAGUGACUAUGCCAAAGAAUACUGGGAAAGGCUUCCUAGGAAUCCCAGUUCCUAAUUCAUGGACUCACUCCCAGACUCACCUCAGUCCCAACCAGACUCUCACUCUGGGACCUAUCACAACCAAUGUGUUCCUAGAUUCCAGAGGUUCUAACAUCACUUGCCUAGAGUCCAGAGAAACCUCAUCAGAGCCAGUCUCAGUAGGGACCCUCAAGCCUGGGCUCUGUACCCAGAAUCUUAGUGUCUCCAACAAUAGCAGUCUCUGUGCUAGACAGGGUCCUCCUAUGUGAAAGGGUGGCCUACCGCUGCCUGGGAUGGGAAAAGGCUUGGAGGUCUUCCUCACCCCCAGCAUCAGCCUUAAAACCACCCCGGGGAAACAGUAACCUUACUCCAACCUGAAAGAGAGGUCUGCCCGGACCAGAAAAGCGGCUGGAUUAGCUGUCAUAGCAGGACUUGGUAUUAUGGCUUGAAUAGGCAGAGGGAUAGACCUAGGACUGUCAGCCUCCACCUAUUACAAACUGUCUGAAAGGUUAAAUGCAGAAUGAACAUGGUGGCUGACUCUAGCUACUAUCCAGCAGCAAAUAAAUUCGCUCCCAGAGGUUGCUUUGCAGAAUCAGUGAGCCCUAGACCUUCUAACCGCAAAGGGGGCACUUGUUUGUUCCUAAGAGAGGAAUGUUGUUACUUCGUUAACCAGUCUGGCAUAGUAACACAAAAGGUAAAAGCUACGAGAAAGCAGACAGCGCAGCAAAAAGGAAUUAGAUAACAGGCUGGGAAACACACACACAGGUAUGGACACGAUGGAUUCUGGAUUCUGCCUUUAGUCGGCCCAUCCUUAUCAUCCUCAUAGGGCUAGCCUCUGGCCCUAUGUGAUCCCAGUUAUCAUCCAGGCACUAGAAAACACUGUAAGGAGGAGAGCCACAGCCAAGAUACUGGCACUCCAACAAUUUCACUACCAGAGAAUAAAGCAAUCCGAGGACCCGGAAUGCGGAAGUAUACAUCGUGAUGCAAUUGCCACAACAGCACCCAAUAGCCUCAAAGGGGGGAAAUGACAGGGCACUGUUGCCAUUGCAGCUAUUGGGACAAGCCCCCCCCCCCCCAUCUCAGAAAGCUCCACCACCUUAAAAUAACACGACCUUUUUAGGCUUCCUGCUUCUAAGCUUCUGUAAUGCUGCCUACCGCUCCACGUGCCAAAAUGAGCCUCGCCUGCCCUGCUUGCUCUUAAAGCUAGGCUGCGGCCCGCUGCUGGGAACCCGGAAUUCAGAGGAUUGCUCCUCUGGUCUCGCAGGUGUAAAUAAAGGAGUCACUUCACUUCC